UACGAAGGGGGCUAGCGUUGCUCGGAAUCACUGGGCGUAAAGCGCACGUAGGCGGCUUCUUAAGUCGGUGGUGAAAUCCUGGAGCUCAACUCCAGAACUGCCUUCGAUACUGGGAAGCUCGAGUCCGGGAGAGGUGAGUGGAACUGCGAGUGUAGAGGUGAAAUUCGUAGAUAUUCGCAAGAACACCAGUGGCGAAGGCGGCUCACUGGCCCGGUACUGACGCUGAGGUGCGAAAGCGUGGGGAGCAAACAGG
rnacentral:rRNA from 1 species